rnacentral:lncRNA from 1 species
GGUUUAGUUUUUUCCUGUUAAUUGGAUAUUCGGGCUUUCGUGAAUAUAAUAAAGAACUUGUGGAUUCUUAUGAAAUGAAAAUGAUUUUCUACCUCUCGCGGUAGCAGAUUUUAAAAGAAAAAGGGUUUCCGUGUGGGAAACGAUUUUAAAAGGUUUCUCGUGGUUUUCAUAACUUAGUAUUUCAAAAUGAGUUUCCGGGUAGGAAAUAUUCUAAACUAAUAGUUAUGGAUUUCUAAAUAAACUCUGAAUAUGAAUUUGUUGGUGAAUGGUGUAUGAAUGUAUGAAUGUUUGUAUAUUCAGUUGUGGUGGUUGUAUCCGUUUAUGUAUCUUGUACUUGUGUGACGCCGUGCAAAUACAGGGGAGACUCUAUCCGUGUGAACAGUGAACUCUCUGUAUUUGUGGCGGAUCUGGCAUACC